rnacentral:lncRNA from 1 species
AGAGAGAUGGCUCUGGUAGCGGUUUGCUGAGCGUUUUGGCAUCUUGUUAUGGUUGCAGUCAUUGUCCUUGGCGGACUGGAAGGAAACGAUGAAGUACAAUGGGAAGAAAAAAGUCUUCUUAUAAUUAGACCCCUGUGAAACAUUUUCACUGAAAUUCAGACUGCUUGAAGAGAUCUUCGCUUUGGCUUUGCACCUGAAUUUGAAAUCAGAAAGGCUGCCUCUGAUUAGUUCUAAAAUAGAACUCUGGAUUAAUUGCUAAAUUCUCAGAAGUUUGCAAGUGGGGAAAGUUCAGCUGAGACAUUUGGAGAUUCAAAAGUAGCUGACCAAACUGGCAUUCUACAGGGAAUCUCAACCAGCAGUCAAUAGGAAAAUAAAAAUGAUUGCUGGUCAUCUGUGUCA